rnacentral:rRNA from 1 species
CCUUGAAAUACCACCCUUUAAUGUUUGAUGUUCUAACGUGGACCCGUGAUCCGGGUUGCGGACAGUGUCUGGUGGGUAGUUUGACUGGGGCGGUCUCCUCCUAAAGAGUAACGGAGGAGCACGAAGGUUGGCUAAUCCUGGUCGGACAUCAGGAGGUUAGUGCAAUGGCAUAAGCCAGCUUGACUGCGAGCGUGACGGCGCGAGCAGGUGCGAAAGCAGGUCAUAGUGAUCCGGUGGUUCUGAAUGGAAGGGCCAUCGCUCAACGGAUAAAAGGUACUCCGGGGAUAACAGGCUGAUACCGCCCAAGAGUUCAUAUCGACGGCGGUGUUUGGCACCUCGAUGUCGGCUCAUCACAUCCUGGGGCUGAAGUAGGUCCCAAGGGUAUGGCUGUUCGCCAUUUAAAGUGGUACGCGAGCUGGGUUUAGAACGUCGUGAGACAGUUCGGUCCCUAUCUGCCGUGGGCGCUGGAGAACUGAGGGGGGCUGCUCCUAGUACGAGAGGACCGGAGUGGACGCAUCACUGGUGUUCGGGUUGUCAUGCCAAUGGCACUGCCCGGUAGCUAAAUGCGGAAGAGAUAAGUGCUGAAAGCAUCUAAGCACGAAACUUGCCCCGAGAUGAGUUCUCCCUGAGACUU